rnacentral:tRNA from 1 species
GGGCCCAUAGCUCAGUGGUAGAGCACUCGACAGAGCACCGAGGUGUCGAGGGUUCGAAUAACCCUUUAGGCCAA